CGCCAAGAUGGACCCUCAAAUCUUUACUAUGUCUUCGGACCACUUUUGUCAGGAACUUAUAUAUGUCCGCUUCGCAGUUCAAAUAUAUGGAUUCCGGUAUGCAAGAGACAAACGUGGGGGGCUUUGUCGGAGUUCGGACAUACACUUCACCAAUCACAUGCACAGUUCCUCUCUUCUCUCUCUCCACCCAACCGCACAUGCAUGGCCCCCCAAUCCUCUCUCUUCUUCCAAUCGGACACUUAGCCACAAAUAUCUCACCACAUGCAUGGUCCUCACGUACUUUUUUCCUCCCAACUGGAUACUUUGUGAUUAGCAUUGGAUGGCUCACCCGCAUCAUGUCCGCGAACCACGUCCAGACAUAAAAAUGGACAUAUGCCAGAGAUAUUUGCCGGUCAGAGGCAUUCAUGGUUUAUUGUUAGAUGGCAGAAGAUUAAGAGACAAACAUGUUAUAGCUUAUGUUACAUACCAUGUCACUAUAAAGGUUCCUGACAAAAGUGGUCCUAGGCGUACUCUCGAACCUCGAUCGAUGGACUUCUGAGAUCAAACACUACUCCUAAAAGAACUUGCAAGAAUUAGAUGUCCAUGAAUGCAGCACCAAGGAGCUAGUAUAACAGUCCAGGGGGUUAGUGGAAACCAUUCUGAAGAUCGUACUGCAUUAUGGAGACUUACAGAAGGUAAUGACAACUACUUCCUUGUUCGUGUCCCAUGUCACUUCCCAGAUCCCGCCAUUGCCCUUGUUUUUUCCAUGCAUAAGGGCAUCGCCAAGAUGGACCCUCAAAUCUUACUAUGUCUUCGGACCACUUUUGUCAGGAACCUAUAUAUGUCCCUUCGCAGUUCAAAUGUAUGGAUUCCGGUAUGCAAGAGACAAACGUGGGGGGCUUUGUCAGAGUUUGGACAUACACUUCACCAAUCACAUGCACAGUUCCUCUCUUCUCUCUCUCCACCCAACCGCACAUGCAUGACCCCCCACUCCUCUCUCUUCUUCCAAGCGGACACUUAACCACAAAUAUCUCACCACAUGCAUGAUCUCCACCUACUUUUUUCCUCCCAACUAGAUACUUUGUGAUUAGCAUUGGAUGGCUCACCCGCAUCAUGUCCGCGAACCACGACCAGACAUAAAAAUGGACAUAUGCCAGAGAUAUUUGCCGGUCAGAGGUUGAGAUGCCCUAAUAAUCUGACCAAUGUUUCUUUCCAUCUACUAUACAUGCCUCUGUCUUUGAAGUCCUCUCUACAUUCUUUUUGCCUUGUAGAGCUCAACUCUCACCGCACAUGCACAUUCUGCCACAUGGAUGAGGUUCUUGUGGCCAUUUUCCUCCAUGUACAUAAAUCCGGUGUUUGUUCGUGUUUGUCAGGAUAAAAAUUUGGCAUCCGCAUGUUGCAUAAAAAUUUGGGUUCUUGUCAUUCAUCGUGACUUGGUAGUCUACUUGCCUAGUUCGGGUAUCAAAAUCAACAUAUCACUAUAGCAUAAGUAUGAAAUAAAUGAGACUUUGGAAUCAUUCCACUGAUAUGAUAUUAAGGAGUUCUUGUGUAUGUUCUGGUAGUCUUCUAGCCACGUUGUGUUAACAUUUUAUCCAAAGCUCGUGAAGACUUGGUGGUGUACGUGGAAAGUUCAGGUUUAAGGAUUAAAACGUCGCCAUGGUGUAAUAAUGGAAAACAAUGAGCUUUAUGUGCUACUGAUAAGGUUUUACAGUUUUCUAGCUCAGUCGCCAUGGCAUAAUAAUGGAAAACAAUGAGCUUUCUACAAUGCAUCUGUAUUUUUAUUGUAUGUCCAGUACAGUCUCCCUUUGCGUCUGUACGGAAGGCAUUCUACAGUUGUUUGGUGUUUUUGCAAAGAGGUAUGAAUUGACACAUGGUUUCAAA